rnacentral:tRNA from 1 species
GGCAUAGCUCAGUUGGCAAAGCGACGCAUUCGUAAUGCGUAGGUCGUCGGUUCGAGUCCGACUUUCA